GCAGCCGUGUCCUACUGGUUAGGGCUUCGGGCUUGGAACUGGAGGGUUGCCGGUUCGAUCCCUGGCCAGUAGGA
rnacentral:tRNA from 1 species